GCUGCGCACUUCGGUCUUUUACGUCGGCCUUCGCGAGCGUCUGGGCGGGUGGUAGGUGAGUGGGUAUUGCGGGCUAGUAUCCGAGCAAAAGAUGGUGGCGCAGGCCGAGUUAAGAGCUUUAAUCCUGUGAAGACAUCUUAGUGAAGAGUUUAGAGUGCUGAGAGUUGAAAGCUUGCACGUGGGAAACGUGCGGCCGGACUGCCACAUGUACUGAGGUUGAGUCGUGACGGCCACAGGCUCCGAGUUUUGGCGUGAGGAACCGCUGAUCGGCCACGGGCGCCGAACUUGCUGGCCUCCGGCAUGUGCCUGAGCGGCGGCGGAAAAACCACCUUAAUUGGGGCGGAGGGAACAAUGGCGCUGUCUUCAGUGGCACAGUGGAGCAGCUCUGAAGAUGCAAAGAUACACGAAAAAACUUCCAGAACAUCUGGGAGAAUAUUUAAUGGAAAAUCGCUUGGUUAAAACCUGACACUUUUAACAGUGAACAGCGUUCUGAGUGUGGACGAGUAGCCAGUGAAGAUAAUGAAUGUCGAAUGUGACUGACUAGCAGCUUCAUUUUGAAUGAGGGUCGCUGUCUGCCCAUUGAUAGAGGCCAGAUUGUCUUGGAAGUUCCAAAGUUGCAACGAUUUCUGGCUAGUGCCACGAGGUUUACUUGACUGUUGUGUGAAAAGCUGAUAAGAAAACCAUCCAGAAAAAAGCUCUUCGUUUUACAAACAUGAAAAUAAAACAUGUAAUUUUGGA
rnacentral:lncRNA from 1 species